CCUACGGGUGGCAGCAGUGAGGAAUAUUGGUCAAUGGACGUAAGCCUGAACUAGCCAAGUCGCGUGAAGGAUGAAGGUUCUAUGGAUCGUAAACCUCUUUUAUAAGGGAAUAAAGGCAGGGACGUGUCCCUGUUUGAAUGUACCUUAUGAAUAAGGAUCGGCUAACUCCGUGCCAGCAGCCGCGGUAAUACGGAGGAUCCGAGCGUUAUCCGGAUUUAUUGGGUUUAAAGGGUGCGUAGGCGGUCUUUUAAGUCAGCGGUGAAAGUCUGUGGCUCAACCAUAGAAUUGCCGUUGAAACUGGUAGGCUUGAGAGUGUUUGCGGUAGGCGGAAUGCGUGGUGUAGCGGUGAAAUGCUUAGAUAUCACGCAGAACCCCGAUUGCGAAGGCAGCUUACCAAGCCAUGACUGACGCUGAUGCACGAAAGCGUGGGGAGCAAACAGGAUUAGAUACCCGUGUAGUC
rnacentral:rRNA from 1 species